GGGAAGAAGUAGAUACUUAUUUAAUCCCACCACCAGUACAUACCAUCUCUAAUCAGUGGUUGCUUAAUACCAAUAAUGGUGCUAACUAAGUUAGAAUGAAUUUUCCCCGAUGUAAUGAAAUGUAAUGUAUAGUCUUUAUUCUCUAACAAAAAUUAUAAUAAGAAUUUUCAUCCUUCACUGUACUGCAAUAAUAUACUUUCCUUAUACUUAGCCUUAAAUUGGUGAAUGUUCGAACUUUGUUUUAGACUCCAUCCUAAGCUGUUCCACAGACGAACCCCACAAACUGACACACACAUGCUUCUUCUUGCAGUUCUUAUAGCUGGUGGUACUAGUUUACCACUUCCCCUCAGAUUGUAGCCAUCACCUUCCCUCUCCAUAAAUAAGCCUUGUAUGUUGGCUGGAAGAACAUUUUUAAUGCCUUUGAAUAACAAUUGAGCUGUGUAGAAAUUCACCAAAUCUAAAAAUUUUAGUGUUUUGGCCUGCAAGAAGAGUGUAUUUGUGUGUUCCAAAUAAUCCGUCUUAUGGAUGAUUCGUAGUGCACGCUUUUGAAGUCUUACCAGUGGGUGUAGUGCACUCUUAUAAUUGUUGCCCCAUACUUCUAUUACAUAAGUAAAAUAUGUGUGGCAUGGUGGGGAGUUGCACUCCCCUCCACUUGAGGCAGUGUGGCUUCUAAUUACUGGGCGUCUAUAAAUAUCCCUGCUCCGCCCUUCCUCUUCCUCUUCCUCCUUCAUGGGACUGACAGACAUGUGGCUGCUGUCCUAACAGCGUGUCUGUGCAGGAUAGUGUUUGGCCUCCCACAAAGCUGUGAAUUGACUGGGAGCUGGACUGCCCUGGAGUCUGUGUGGGAGCGGUGUGUUUCCUGCAGCCGCCGCCACUGCUGUAUCGGGCUGUGUAUGCUCUCCUUCAUGCUGCCAGUGGUGCAGUCAUCGGCUGCAGUUGACCCCAGGCUUUACUGCUGUUUUGGCUCUCCUUCUUUGGAUGUGCUUGACACCUGCUCGUCGCACCACGGCCUCCUCAGUACACCCUGCUGCCCUAGGGCCUGAUGGACCACCCAGGCUCCUUGAGAAGUGUGGCUCUCCUGCAUCGAGCCUAGGAGCUUGGGCAUGCGCCGUGCUCGGGCAUUUUUAGAAAUGCAGACGCACUUUUCUUUCUGAUUUUCUUCUUUUUUUCCUUCUUCUGUUCGAUUGCGUUUAAUAGUGAUUACGUUGCUCUAUUGUUUCCUGUUCUAUCUCUUUGGUUCUUGUUAUUUUGUAAUGAUUUCUGUUUUUU